rnacentral:rRNA from 1 species
GACAGAGGUCCCAAGCGUUAGGCGGAAUCACUGGGCUUAAAGCGUGUGUAGGCGGAUUUGUAAGUACCUUGUGAAAUCCCACGGCUCAACCGUGGAACUGCUUGGUAUACUGCUUAUCUUGGGUCAUCUAGGGGCGAGCGGAACAAACGGUGGAGCGGUGAAAUGCGUAGAUAUCAUUUGGAACGCCAAUGGUGAAAACAGCUCGCUGGGGAUGUACCGACGCUGAGACACGAAAGCCAGGGGAGCGAACGGG